CGGUAGCUAAUACCGCAUAACGUCGCAAGACCAAAGAGGGGGACCUUCGGGCCUCUUGCCAUCAGAUGUGCCCAGAUGGGAUUAGCUAGUAGGUGGGGUAACGGCUCACCUAGGCGACAAUCCCUAGCUGGGCUGAGAGGAUGACCAGCCACACUGGAACUGAGACACGGUCCAGACUCCUACGGGAGGCAGCAGUGGGGAAUAUUGCACAAUGGGCGCAAGCCUGAUGCACCCAUGCCGCGUGUAUGAAAAAGGCCUUCGGGUUGUAAAGUACUUUCAGCGGGGAGGAAGGUGUUGUGGUUAAUAACCCCACCAAUUGACGUUACCCGCAGAAAAAGCACCGGCUAACUCCGUGCCACCAGCCGCGGUAAUACGGAGGGGGCAAGCGUUAAUCGGAAUUACUGGGCGUAAAGCGCACGCAGGCGGUCUGUCAAGUCGGAUGUGAAAUCCCCGGGCUCAACCUGGGAACUGCAUUCUAAACUGGCAGGCUGGAGUCUCGUAGAGGGAGGUAGAAUUCCAGGUGUAGCGGUGAAAUGCGUAUAGAUCUGGAGGAAUACCGGUGGCGAAAG
rnacentral:rRNA from 1 species